GUGUGUGUGGUCAACAACAGUGUCGGUCAGGGAGUUUGACUGGGGCGGUACGUCUGUCAAAUGGUAACGCAGGUGUCCCAAGGCGAGCUCAGCGUGGACGGAAACCACAUGUCGAGCAAAAGGGCAAAAGCUCGCUCGAUCUCGAUUUUCAGUACGAUAACUGGAUCAGAAGAGAGUGUGUAGAGAAAGAGUGAUAUGGAGGGAGAUA